GGCUGUGGCCGCCGCAGGACGGAGGGCGCUGGCUCCUGCUGGCAGCGAGGGCAGGCGGCAGCUUGGGGCGGCCCGGCGCGUCUGGCUGGCGCGGCAGCCCCCGGCGCCCUUUUAUAGCGAACCCCCAUGGAGCGGGCAAAGCGAAGCCCGUGUAGGGGACCGGGCACAUUACACGAAGGAUGCGGGGCAAGGAAGAGGCGAGCCCUAUGCCAGGCCUGUGCCCCUGGCUCCCGCCAUGAGCAGGACAUGGGCAAGACAAGUUUUUUCCAGCGCAUCUGCACCUGAUGCCUUGUCCUGAGGCACUGUUGCUGUCGGUGUGGCAGCUGAGUGCUUGAGGAACGGUCGCAGCAAUGUCAUCAUAAAUACACACGUGCACCACACGCUGAGCUCUGUCUGGGCUGCCAGAGCCAGCCCCGCGUUAUAAACUUGUAUGAACUCAAAGCCUGUGCUCCGACAUGAAGCCAUAGUACUGCAAAGCGUGCCAACUUCACCUAUGAUAAAUAGAUAAGGCCCUCUCGGUAUUUGUGGCAUUUCCUUGCACUGUGCUGUAAUAAUAGAAAUGACCUUGGGUCUCACAAAGACCAAGGCUGUUAGCUGCGAGUUGCAUUGUGAUACCUGAGGUGAAUGGCCAUUUUUAUUAAGUAUCAUAUUAUCCUGUUCUGCUGUAGCAUAUGGGACAGACUGUCAGCAGCCAUGCUGAGUCAGAAUAAAAGUCCAUUUAGCUGGUAUACAGUAGCUGUUAGCAGUUGGGAUGAGAAAGCGUACAAGGAAAGAAUGCAAAUGGAGACUAACCCUUUCCUUGGUAUAACCUCCUUGCUUUUAGCAGGAUGAAAUUCAGGGGCUUUCCGAGCAAUAGCUGGCAUUUAGGCAAUUAUGUUGAAUAAACGCCAGUGACCCUA